GACGAACGCUGGCGGCGUGCUUAACACAUGCAAGUCGUACGGUAAGGCCCUGUCUGGGGUACACGAGCGGCGGACGGGCGGGUAACACGUGAGUAACCUGCCCACCACUUUGGGAGAACUAUAGGAAACUGGUUCUAAUACUGGACAUGUGCUCCUUCUUGAUGGAGGGGGGUGGAAAGCUCCGGGGGGUGGGGGUGGACUGGCGGGCGAUUUGCUUGUUGGUGGGGUAGUGGCCUACCAAGGCGGGGGCGGGUAGCCGGCCUGCGAGGGUGGGCGGCCACCAUGGGACUGAGGUACCGCCCCGACUCCCACGGGGGGCAACAGUGGGGGAUAUUGCACCAUGGGCGCGAGCCUGGUGCAGCCACGCCGCGUGCGGGAUGACGGCCCUCCGGUUGGAAAACGGCUUCCGCAGGGGCCAAGCUUUUUGUGACGGUACCUGGAGAAGAAGCACCGGCUAACUACGUG
rnacentral:rRNA from 1 species